AGAGCCCAUCUGAGAACAACAUGGAACGGCUAACACGGCUCUCGGCACGACACACGGGCAGCUCUUCCUGAAGAAAGCCAGCCCCGGGUCCUGGUGGACAACCAGCUCCCAGAAGUCUGGCUGAGAACUAACAAAAAGCAGCUGCAAUGCACUUGCUUCUAUUCGAGCUGAGCACUGCGACACAAGAGAUGAUGCAUUCUGGACUCCUCUCCUGCUGGCUUCCGCUGUCCUGCUCUGCCCAGGAAAGAGUCGGUGGUCUGUCUAACUCAAGGAUGAAAUUUCAAAAGGCCCACUUGGCUGCAGACCCAAAGCUACGUUCUCCAAAAAGUAUUUUCAUUAAUAAAGCUGGCAUCUUGCUGUCCAUCAGCCUGACUCCUUUAUCUUUUUCAGUGG